AGUAACACGUGGAUAACCUACCUAUAAGACUGGGAUAACUUCGGGAAACCGGAGCUAAUACCGGAUAAUAUUUUGAACCGCAUGGUUCAAAAGUGAAAGACGGUCUUGCUGUCACUUAUAGAUGGAUCCGCGCUGCAUUAGCUAGUUGGUAAGGUAAUGGCUUACCAAGGCAACGAUGCAUAGCCGACCUGAGAGGGUGAUCGGCCACACUGGAACUGAGACACGGUCCAG
rnacentral:rRNA from 1 species